CAAACUAUUAAACAACUUGGUAUUCUUUAAGGUAAAAAAAAAAUAAUAGAUAGUCUGAACAGAAAAUUCUAGCUUUGUUAUUCCUUAAUUAAAUCCUUAAAUUAACAGAAAUGAACCAAGCUACCAGUUUGUUGAGACAUGUUUUGAGUGCCAGCAAAACAAAUUUCCUACACACCAAUAAAAUUGAUGGUAAUUUUUUUCCUAUAAAAUAUGUUCUGGCCCAUCCACUCAAUAUUUUUUAAAAAGUUCUCGCCCAUCCAAAUAUUUACACAAAAAAAGUGCUUACCUCGCCCUAUUUUGCACUGGCCCAUCCAUCUGAUAAAUAUUGAACGGUCCCACACUUGCUGCCCUAACCCUAAGCUUACCACUAACCCCUGGAAACUUGUCGACCUAUGUAGGUUGACAUUUAUUUGUAAAAGUUAAUUUGUCGACCUGUCAACCAA
rnacentral:lncRNA from 1 species